CAUCGCCUCCUGCUUAUAAUAACAUAGGAGGUCCCGCCUGCCCUGUGACCAAAAGUUUAACGGCCGCGGUAUUUUAACCGUGCAAAGGUAGCGCAAUCAAUUGUCUUUUAAAUGGAGACCUGUAUGAAUGGCAUAACGAGGGUUUUACUGUCUCUUUUUUCUGGUCAAUGAAACUGAUCUGCCCGUGCAGAAGCGGGCAUAAUAACACAAGACGAGAAGACCCUAUGGAGCUUUAGACGCCCACCAGCCGCGAAGAGCACCCCGACGAGGGGCCACCAAAUAACGCGAUCGUGGUACAAACGUCUUCGGUUGGGGCGACCACGGGGGAAUACAAAGCCCCCGAGAGGAUUGGGGAUCCAACCCUAAAACCAAGAGCCACAGCUCUAAGUCACAAAACAUUUGACCCAGAAUGAUCCGGCUCAUUGCCGAUCAACGGACCAAGUUACCCUAGGGAUAACAGCGCAAUCCUCUCCCAGAGUCCAUAUCGACGAGAGGGUUUACGACCUCGAUGUUGGAUCAGGACAUCCUAAUGGUGCAGCCGCUAUUAAGGGUUCGUUUGUUCAACGAUUAAAGUCCUACGUGAUCU
rnacentral:rRNA from 1 species